CCUACGGGGUGCAGCAGUGAGGAAUAUUGGUCAAUGGGCUUACGCCUGAACCAGCCAAGUCGCGUGAGGGAAGACUGCCCUAUGGGUUGUAAACCUCUUUUGUCAGGGAGCAAUUGGCGCUACGUGUAGCGUUAUCGAGAGUACCUGAAGAAAAAGCAUCGGCUAACUCCGUGCCAGCAGCCGCGGUAAUACGGAGGAUGCGAGCGUUAUCCGGAUUUAUUGGGUUUAAAGGGUGCGUAGGCGGAAUGCCAAGUCAGCGGUAAAAUCGCGGGGCCCAACCCCGGGACUGCUCUUGGAACUGCGUGGCUGGAGUGCAGGAGGGGCAGGCGGAAGUCCUGGUGUAGCGGUGAAAUGCGUAGAUAUCAGGAGGAACACCGGUGGCGAAGGCGGCCUGCUGGACUGCAACUGACGUUGAGGCCCGAAAGCGUGGGGAGCAAACAGGAUUAGAUACCCCGGUAGUC
rnacentral:rRNA from 1 species